rnacentral:lncRNA from 1 species
AAAAAGAAGUUAGCUCUGUGCCUCCACAAUCACCAAAUGUUGCCGACAUCUCAGUAGCCUGGCUAUUUAAAUAGAGGUUCAUUUCACAUUGUAAAGUCAAGUUACAAUUUUAGUUUUCCAGUUUCAAAGUUCAUUCAGAAGUGUCCUUUUGAAGAACACAUGUAAAAUAUGAGUGUUAUCUAUCAAUAAAAUCUUUCAAUCAAGAUUUUCUGUAAGUUUGCAAUUUCAUUAUCAUCAUUAUUUUCAGUUAAAUAUUAUUGCAAUUUCAUUAUCAUCAUUAUUUUCAGUUAAAUAUUAUUGCAAUUUCAUUAUCAGUUUUAUUUAACUGCAGUUAUAUAUAUAUAAUAUGUUUUCAUCUCUCUGCAGUUUGCUAUUUUCUUCCUGUUCGUUUGUUAUUGUUUUGGUUCUACAAAGUUUCGGAUAUCAACAAUAGCCACUUCGUGAACUAAAUCAAAAGGCUAGAACUCAUUAACCAUUUAGAAAUCAAAACAGAAUUGAAGCUUUUAAAAUUACUUUCAUGGGUUAGGAUCAGUUUGAGUUGUACGUAACCCAAAUCCAUGAUAAGCUUCUCUAACCUUAAUUGAGAAGAAUGACAUUGACAAUAAAAAUUAACCUUACAUAUUUCUUACUUGAUUAUUGUGGCUUCAAAAUAGUGCUUCAACAAUCCAACAAGAAAAAUUGAAGAAAAAGAAUGAGAAGCGUAGCUCUGGACUAAGGGACAUGGAAGAUAAGGUGUGAAGAUGAAUGAUGGGAAGUAGAAGAAUGAGGAGAAAGAGAUGCGAACGUGAAAACAUAUGGGUUUUUUUUUUUUGGAAUUCUGAAAUUUUCGUUAAACUCUAGCGCCUCUCCAAACUGAUUGCCACAUAAUCAGAAAAUGAAAGCAUAUUUAUACCAGCCUUCCCUUAUAGCUUUCUUUUACAACCAUUUUUAACAAUAAGUUAUUUUCUUAUAGUUUACCAAACAAAGAUAGGCUUCCCAAAUUAAAAAAAAAUAAAAUAAAAUUAUUUUUUACUCCAAAUAAUCAACGCCAAAUAGACUCUUAAAGUGAUUAUAUAAAAAAAUAAUUCUUUAUAUUAAGUGAUUUUUGGCCCAUCAAAAAUUAAUGAACCAUAUAUCUAACAAAAGCUCCAAAUAAUUUUUGUUUUGUUUUAACAAAAGCUCCAAAAUAGUCCAAUGUUCCCCUAAAGACAAAAGCAAAAAACUCCGAGGAUCAAACAUCAAACGUAUAGUGGGAUUCCAUGUCUGAAGUGAACAUCUCAGCCGUCCAUGUAAUCCAUCAUCCAAUAAGAAUAGUGGUCAAUUUAAUUUAAUGACGGUAGAAGAGAGACCAGUUCAAAUAGGAGGAAACUAGAAACGAAGGACGACCAGAUGAGUGACUGAGUGGUGUCCAUCUUCUGUCUUCUGUGUUCAUUACUGAGAUUGAAAGAAAUAAAAGGAAAAAUCAGCAGUUUCGGUUUUCCAUGCAGAAGAUCUCCAUUCUCGAAAAACACCACUACGCCUCUACCUUAUUAUGGAAACGGU